rnacentral:lncRNA from 1 species
UGGGGUGUCCCCCUCUAUGUGUCCAGUGACUAUCGGGGACCCCCACCCCCUGAAUCCCCCCAUGGUGUCCAGUUAUGAGUAUUGGGGUCCCCCCGAAGCCCCCAGCAGGGUUUGGGGGCUCAGCCAUCCUCUCCCGCAGUCAUGGACCUGAGCUCGGAUGAGGAUUAUGAUGAUGAUGAGGAGGAAGAAGAGGAAGCACCAGUGCCAGCCCCCAAGAGGCCCCCAAAGGGCUCAGGUGCCCAGAAGGGCAGAACAACCAAGGUUAGCACCUGAUGGGGGGGUCUGAAGGGUUUUGGGGUCCCUGUGGCACGGGGGGGACCCCAAAUUCCUCUCUGCUAUGGGGAUGAGCCAUGACCUUCAUCCCUCGGGCGGAAGACUCCUCAUCCUCCCUCUCUUUCUCUCUCCCGUAGAAAAGGAAGUGGGAAAAGGAGGAGGAGCCGAACAGCCUCGUCCCUGCACGUGCCCCCCCAGCCAAGGGACGCGGAGCCGGCCGGGGCAGGAAAAGAGCAGCAAAAAAAUGAUGGAAUUGGGGAAUUCUGGGAAUUCCAUCCAGGUGAGGAUUGGGGGGUGUCCCUGGAAUGGCUCUGACCCCACAGCGGGCUCACCCCACUAAAAACCCUUUUCCUCUUCCCCUCCAGGUGCCUGGAAGCAGCAGCUGGUGGUGGUGGUGGUGUGGUUCCCUAUUAAAUAAAGCACAUUUUGCACUCCUGGAUCCCUGUGCU